CUUGGUUCUGGCAUCGAUGAAGAACGCAGCGAAAUGCGAUAAGUAAUGCGAAUUCCUGUCCGAGCGUCAUCAUCACC
rnacentral:rRNA from 1 species